CCUACGGGUGGCAGCAGUGAGGAAUAUUGGUCAAUGGACGAGAGUCUGAUCCAGCCACGUAGCGUGAAGGAUGACUUCCCUCUGGGUUGUAAACUUCUUUUAUAUGGGAAUAAAAUGUUCCACGUGUGGGAUUUUGUAUGUACCAUAUGAAUAAGGAUCGGCUAACUCCGUGCCAGCAGCCGCGGUAAUACGGAGGAUCCGAGCGUUAUCCGGAUUUAUUGGGUUUAAAGGGAGCGUAGGUGGAUUGUUAAGUCAGGUGUGAAAGUUUGCGGCUCAACCGUAAAAUUGAAGUUGAAACUGGCAGGCUUGAGUACAGGAGAGGUGGGCGGAAUUCGUGGUGUAGCGGUGAAAUGCUUAGAUAUCACGAAGAACUCCGAUUGCGAAGGCAGUUCACUGGACUGCAACUGACACUGAGGCUCGAAAGUGUGGGUAUCAAACAGGAUUAGAUACCCUGGUAGUC
rnacentral:rRNA from 1 species